GAUGAACGCUGGCGGCGUGCUUAACACGUGCAAGUCGAACGGAAAGGCUCCUGCUUGCCGGGGUACUCGAGUGGCGAACGGGUGAGUAACACGUGGGUGAUCUGCCCUGCACUUCGGGAUAAGCCUGGGAAACUGGGUCUAAUACCGGAUAGGACCACAUUUUGGAUGGUGUGGUGGAAAGUUUUUCGGUGUGGGAUGAGCUCGCGGCCUAUCAGCUUGUUGGUGGGGUAAUGGCCUACCAAGGCGUCGACGGGUAGCCGGCCUGAGAGGGUGUACGGCCACAUUGGGACUGAGAUGCGGCCCAGACUCCUACGGGAGGCAGCAGUGGGGAAUAUUGCACAAUGGGCGCAAGCCUGAUGCAGCGACGCCGCGUGGGGGAUGACGGCCUUCGGGUUGUAAACUCCUUUCGCUAGGGACGAAGCGCAAGUGACGGUACCUGGAGAAGAAGCACCGGCUAACUACGUG
rnacentral:rRNA from 1 species